rnacentral:rRNA from 1 species
UACGAAGGGGGCUAGUGUUGUUCGGAUUUACUGGGCGUAAAGCGCACGUAGGCGGAUCUUUAAGUCAGAGGUGAAAUCCCAAGGCUCAACCUUGGAACUGCCUUUGAUACUGGGGAUCUUGAGUCCGGGAGAGGUGAGUGGAAUUCCUAGUGUAGAGGUGAAAUGCGUAGAUAUCUGGAGGAACACCGGUGGCGAAGGCGGCAUCCUGGACCGACACUGACGCUGAGGAGCGAAAGCCAGGGGAGCAAACGGG